AAUCAACGCUGGCGGCGUGCCUCAGACAUGCAAGUCGAACGCGAAAGUUUCCUUCGGGAGGCGAGUAGAGUGGCGCACGGGUGAGUAACACGUAGAUAAUCUACCUGCGGGUGGGGAAUAACUUUCGAAGGGAGCUAUACCGCAUAACACUAAGUGGUGGCAUCACCAAAUAGUCAAAGUGGGGGAUCGCAAGACCUCACGCCUGUAGAGGAGUCCGCGGCCGAUUAGCAGUUGGUGAGGUAACAGCUCACCAAGGCGACUAUCGGUAGCCGGCCUGAGAGGGCGAACGGCCACACUGGCACUGAAAAACGGGCCAGACUCCUACGGGAGGCAGCAGUGGGGGAAUUUUGGGCAAUGGCCGAAAGGCUGACCCAGCAACGCCGCGUG
rnacentral:rRNA from 1 species